AUGUCUGUUUUGGAGGAGAACCCAGGUAUGAAAAUGGACUGUGAAGACUGGGAAAGAUAUGAGCCUCAGUGCUCCUCAGAAGAAAUCUUCUUUGUAUUAGCCUCCCGUGUGAUGUCAGCUCAUGAGAACAAAGGAAGCCCCAUUCUUCUAGCCGUCUCUAAAGGCGAGCUGUGUCUCUACUGUGACAAAAACAAAGGACACAACAAGCCAUCCCUGCAGCUGAAGAAGAAGAAACUUUCCACACUGGCUGCCCAGGAGAAAGGGAAAUGUCUGCCCUACAUCUUUUAUCGGAAUAAAGUCAGCUCUCGGAAUACCUUAGAGUCGGCUGCCCACCCUGGAUGGUUUAUCUGCACCUUCCGCUAUCCUGGGAAACCAGUUGGAAUGACAAAAUGUCACGGAGAAAGGAAACACACUGAGUUUUCAUUUCGGCAGAUCUAUGAAGCUGAAACGAGCCCCAGUGAAGUCAGUGAAUAA
rnacentral:lncRNA from 1 species